rnacentral:rRNA from 1 species
UGGGGAAUAUUGCACAAUGGGCGCAAGCCUGAUGCAGCCAUGCCGCGUGUGUGAAGAAGGCCUUCGGGUUGUAAAGCACUUUCAGCGGGGAGGAAGGCGUUGAGGUUAAUAACCUCACCGAUUGACGUUACCCGCAGAAGAAGCACCGGCUAACUCCGUGCCAGCAGCCGCGGUAAUACGGAGGGUGCAAGCGUUAAUCGGAAUUACUGGGCGUAAAGCGCACGCAGGCGGUCUGUCAAGUCGGAUGUGAAAUCCCCGGGCUCAACCUGGGAACUGCAUUCGAAACUGGCAGGCUAGAGUCUUGUAGAGGGGGGUAGAAUUCCAGGUGUAGCGGUGAAAUGCGUAGAGAUCUGGAGGAAUACCGGUGGCGAAGGCGGCCCCCUGGACAAAGACUGACGCUCAGGUGCGAAAGCGUGGGGAGCAAACAGG